rnacentral:lncRNA from 1 species
GGAGAUAGCUGUCCAUAGGCCAUCAUCACAAGUUUAAUAGAUCCCCUCUGGACAGCAUUCCUCUGAGGCAGUGUUCUAGAAAGUAAAGAUACGGUCUGGGAUGGUCAGACUCAGACAGCACCACUCACAUACAAUACAACACAAAUGGUACUCCCUGAAAUUGUGCAACAUUGUGAUAAAGGGUAAGACUUCACACAUACCAGCCCCUCCUCUUUGAUCUAUACCAUGAACCUCUUUCUACAGUAAUAAUAAUAACAUAACCAGCAGUCCCAGAGCUGAGUUUAUGAGGUAGCAAAGUAGACAGCUCCUUUGGGCCAAAAUGUCAAACUCACUAGUAUCAUGUCAUGCAGUAAUUCCUUUGAAAUGAAACUAUCUAUUUGAAA